ACGAACGCUGGCGGCAUGCCUAACACGUGCAAGUCGAACGAACUCCUCGGAGUUAGUGGCGCACGGGUGCGUAACGCGUGGGAAUCUGCCCUUGGGUACGGAAUAACUCAGAGAAAUUUGUGCUAAUACCGUAUAAUGUCUUCGGACCAAAGAUUUAUCGCCCAAGGAUGAGCCCGCGUAAGAUUAGCUAGUUGGUGGGGUAAAGGCCUACCAAGGCUACGAUCUUUAGCUGGUCUGAGAGGAUGAUCAGCCACACUGGGACUGAGACACGGCCCAGACUCCUACGGGAGGCAGCAGUGGGGAAUAUUGGACAAUGGGCGAAAGCCUGAUCCAGCAAUGCCGCGUGAGUGAUGAAGGCCUUAGGGUUGUAAAGCUCUUUUACCCGGGAUGAUAAUGACAGUACCGGGAGAAUAAGCUCCGGCUAACUCCGU
rnacentral:rRNA from 1 species